CCUACGGGGGGCAGCAGUGGGGAAUAUUGCACAAUGGGGGAAACCCUGAUGCAGCGACGCCGCGUGAGUGAAGAAGUAUUUCGGUAUGUAAAGCUCUAUCAGCAGGGAAGAUAAUGACGGUACCUGACUAAGAAGCCCCGGCUAACUACGUGCCAGCAGCCGCGGUAAUACGUAGGGGGCAAGCGUUAUCCGGAUUUACUGGGUGUAAAGGGAGCGUAGGUGGCAGGGCAAGUCAGAUGUGAAAACCCGGGGCUCAACCCCGGGAGUGCAUUUGAAACUGUCCAGCUGGAGUGCAGGAGAGGUAAGCGGAAUUCCUAGUGUAGCGGUGAAAUGCAUAGAUAUUAGGAGGAACACCAGUGGCGAAGGCGGCUUACUGGACUGUAACUGACACUGAGGCUCGAAAGCGUGGGGAGCAAACAGGAUUAGAUACCCCAGUAGU
rnacentral:rRNA from 1 species